GACGAACGCUGGCGGCGUGCUUAACACAUGCAAGUCGAACGGAAAGGCCCUGCUUUUGUGGGGUGCUCGAGUGGCUAACGGGUGAGUAACACGUGAGUAACCUGCCCUUUACUUUGGGAUAACUUCAGUAAACUGGGGCUAAUACCGGUUAUGAGCUCCUGCUGCAUGGUGGGGGUUGGAAAGUUUCGGCGGUUGGGGAUGGACUCGCGGCUUAUCAGCUUGUUGGUGGGGUAGUGGCUUACCAAGGCUUUGACGGGUAGCCGGCCUGAGAGGGUGACCGGCGACAUUGGGACAGAGAUACGGCCCAGACUCCUACGGGAGGCAGCAGUGGGGAAUAUUGCACAAUGGGCGGAAGCCUGAUGCAGCAACGCCGCGUGCGGGAUGACGGCCUUCGGGUUGUAAACCGCUUUCGCCUGUGACGAAGCGUGAGUGACGGUAAUGGAUAAAGAAGCACCGGCUAACUACGUG
rnacentral:rRNA from 1 species